rnacentral:lncRNA from 10 species
CUCAGCAAACUAUCGCAAGGACAAAAAACCAAACGCCACAUGUUCUCACUCAUAGGUGGGAAUUGAACAAUGAGAACACAUGGACACAGGAAAGGGAACACCACACACCAGGGCCUGUUGUGAGGUGGGGGGAGGGGGAAGGAUGGCAUUAGGAGAUAUACCUAAUGUUAAAUGAUGAGUUACUGGGUUCAGCACACCAACAUGGCACAUGUGUGCAUAUGUAACUAACCUGCACGUUGUGCACAUGUACCCUAAAACUUAAAGUAUAAUAAUUAUAAUAAUAAAAAUAAGGAAUCCCAUCCCAGAAUCACUGCCCACAGUCACAUAGCCAGUGCCAGGUGAAGUCAAGUCCAGAAUCGUCUCUCCUCUUCCACUGCCCUUUGUAUGACAUGAUACUGCCUCUACUUCCUACAUGAUAUAAACAGCUCAUUUCUCCCUGCCUGUGAGGAUGGGACAGAACAGGCAAGGACCACAAAUACCACUCCCUUCAACUGCUGCAAAUCUUCAAAUAGAUCCCAGUGAAAUGGACAGUCAGCACGACAGAAUGAAGGCAGGAUGUUGGAAGUCCACCUGUUUUGGCUCAGAUACCUUGCAAGGGACAAACCUCAGCCCUAAGGCUGCUCGGUGGAGAGCUCAACCUCAGGGGCAAGAAUAUAGUGGACAACUUCAUUCAGGGUUUUGAUGGACUUCAGAGAAUGAUGUCACCCCAAAUCUCCCCCUCUGGACUGAGGGAAAUGCUUCGAGGCAAGCCAUUCUUCAUUGUUACGUAUCUGGGACAGUGAAGGCUGUGAAAAAUAAUAACUACCACAGCAACUGACAUUUGGUGACCCACACCUUGUUGAGGACAUUGUACUAAGUAGCUAACAUGUAUUAUCUCAUUUGAUCCUCACCACAACCCUAUGACAUAGGUGCUGGUAUGAUCUCCCUGUUUACAGAAGAGGAAACUUGAGAAGUUAAGCAACCUGCCAAAGGUCUUAGAGCCUGAAAGAUUAGCCCAUCGACCAAAUCCAGCCAGGCUUUACAGCCAGCACAAACAUCGGUCAGGUGGCCUAGGGCAAGUCAUUCAACCUCUCAGAACUUCAGUUUGUGAUGUCAGUUGGGGAUAAUGAUACUUGCCUUGCAGGGAAGGAAGAGACAGCUCCAGCUCCCUUUUCUUGGCAUCCCAGUCUUCAUCACGCUCAUCCAGAGGCAGCCCCUUCUGCUGGGCAGCGCAACGGUGGUCCUGGCACUCGGGCUCUGCCCUAGGAAAGAAGAGAGAGCCUUCUGAACUUGGAUCAGGAGGACCUGUUCCAGCCUGGGAAUCGGCCUUUAUUCACAGGUUCUGCACACCGCAGUUCAGUUGAGAAGGAAGGAGGCCAAGUUUGAGCAUUUCCAAGCAUACACUUAGGGAAGGUCUCAGACACUAAAGAAACUACUUGGAGGUGGAGAAAAAUUGUGGGACCCGAGUGAGAUGUUAACAGACUCAAAGAUAGUCACUCAGCUUGAAGAAAAUGCUCCUGAUUCUUGAAGUGCUCACAUUUAUAGAGCAACCUGCAGAUUAUUGCGAGACUGUUUUCGUUUAUUUUUAGUUUUAUUUUUCAUAAUCAUAAAAGUGAUGUGUGUUCCUUGUAUAAAAUUUAAAAGUACAGAAACAUAUAAGGAACAAAAU